UGGGGAAUCUUGGACAAUGGGCGCAAGCCUGAUCCAGCCAUGCCGCGUGGAUGAUGAAGGCCUUAGGGUUGUAAAAUCCUUUCGUGGGGGACGAUAAUGACGGUACCCCAAGAAGAAGCUCCGGCUAACUUCGUGCCAGCAGCCGCGGUAAUACGAAGGGGGCUAGCGUUGUUCGGAUUUACUGGGCGUAAAGCGCGUGUAGGCGGGUCGUUAAGUUGGGGGUGAAAUCCCGAGGCUCAACCUCGGAACUGCCUUCAAAACUGGCGACCUGGACUCAAGCAGAGGCAAGUGGAAUUGCGAGUGUAGAGGUGAAAUUCGUAGAUAUUCGCAGGAACACCAGUGGCGAAGGCGACUUGCUGGGCUUGUAGUGACGCUGAGACGCGAAAGCGUGGGGAGCAAACAGGAUUAGAUACCCUUGUAGUCCCUGAGCGGGCUGGCAAGGCGCAU
rnacentral:rRNA from 1 species